rnacentral:rRNA from 1 species
UGGGGAAUAUUGGACAAUGGGCGAAAGCCUGAUCCAGCAACGCCGCGUGAGGGAUGACGGCCUUCGGGUUGUAAACCUCUUUCAGCAGGGACGAAGCGCAAGUGACGGUACCUGCAAAAGAAGCACCGGCCAACUACGUGCCAGCAGCCGCGGUAAUACGUAGGGUGCGAGCGUUGUCCGGAAUUAUUGGGCGUAAAGGGCUCGUAGGCGGUUUGUCACGUCGGGAGUGAAAACUCGGGGCUCAACCCCGAGCCUGCUUCCGAUACGGGCUAACUAGAGGUAUGCAGGGGAGAACGGAAUUCCUGGUGUAGCGGUGAAAUGCGCAGAUAUCAGGAGGAACACCGGUGGCGAAGGCGGUUCUCUGGGCAUUACCUGACGCUGAGGAGCGAAAGUGUGGGGAGCGAACAGG